rnacentral:rRNA from 1 species
AUGCACGGGAAGCGUGACCCCCUCAUCGGCGAUCGUUGUCUUUCCGUCCUCACAGAUGAGAAGCAGGAUAUAUGCGAUCUGCUCGGUUACAUCCAUGAUUUCUACAGGGAGGCGCUCGAUCGGCUUCCGUUGGGGGCGAUUCCCUCGCUGGCCCCGCGCCUCCUCAAGGCCGGCAUGCCCAUCGGCUUCCUCGACCCAGUCUCCAACAUCAUCGCCAACACCAUCGCCUACACCCCUUCACCGACGCCUGGAUCCGACAAGGAGGAAGAGGAGGAUGAGGCGCCGUCGUCGGAGUGGAUCCUCUCCAAGAUCAUCACCGACACUAACGACAUAUUCGUCUUCGAACUACCGCUUUCCCGGCACAAGUCUAUGACCCUCGCGCGGCUGUCGCUGGACGGUCUUGUCAGCUUCCUCACCUCCCACUACCGCUACCUCGUCAGCAGGGAAGCCAUGAGCUACUUGCUCCUGGCCAGGGCCGAUCUUCUCACCGCUGUGCGCCUCAUCGAGCGUGAUCGUAACAAGUGGUGCAACUCCUUCAGUAUUACCUCCCCUACAGCCAAGGUCGCCCUGGAAUGUGCCGCUGUGUCUGCCAGGCAUCCUGAACCAGACGUCCUGGUGAAAGCGUCGCUGACUAUGGCCUCUCGCCUGGCCGAUGUCACCGCCGUUCUUGCUGGACAAGGCCCUCUCUCGCCUGCAACUAUCAGGAGCAUUGCCAAGCUGCUCAGGAGAGGGCCUCCGAUUAUGGAUGAUCUCACCAACCUAUCACUGGAUCAUCUUUGUGGUAAGAAGAAGAGUAAGAAGAGAAAGAGAAGCGAGCAGACAGCAGAAACCAUAGAGGGGAGCAGGGCACAGAAAAAGCUUGGUCCUCAGUUGACAUUCAGAUUCACACUGGCUCUGAAGCUUUUGCUCCUCGGCAAGAUCCAUGGGCACUACUUGCAGGCACUUGCCAAGCUGCCUCGGGAUGGCUUGCGCAAGCUUCACCACUGCAGCCUCCUCAGGGGUGGAUAUUGCUAUGGCCCCAAGGAUCCUGUCUCCAAGAUUAUCCUCAACACCAUCUGGUAUGGCUCCAUGUUUCCCACGCCCCAAAAGUUUCAGCUACAGUUUAAGGUGGAUAUGAUAUGCACAGACAUGCUUGCACGCAUUGAGUGCUGUUCUCUUUACGGUUACCUUCCUUCGCACCCGUCUCCCCUCUAUCUCGGAGCACGAUGCAAUCUGGUAUCUGUUCAGGAGCGAUGCUGA